AUUAACGCUAGCGGCAGGCCUAAUACAUGCAAGUCGAACGGUAACAUGGGUAGCAAUAUCUGAUGACGAGUGGCGCACGGGUGCGUAACGCGUAUGUAAUCUACCUCUAACUGGGGGAUAGCCUUCCGAAAGGAAGAUUAAUACCGCAUAAUAUAAUGAAGAGGCAUCUUUUUGUUAUCAAAACUCCGGUGGUUAGAGAUGAACAUGCGUGACAUUAGCUAGUUGGUGAAGUAAUAGCUCACCAAGGCUACGAUGUCUAGGGGGUCUGAGAGGAUGAUCCCCCACACUGGUACUGAGACACGGACCAGACUCCUACGGGAGGCAGCAGUAAGGAAUAUUGGACAAUGGGGGCAACCCUGAUCCAGCCAUGCCGCGUGAAGGAUUAAGGCCCUAUGGGUUGUAAACUUCUUUUAUAAGGGAAAAAACCUCUCUACGUGUAGAGAGUUGAUGGUACUUUAUGAAUAAGGGUCGGCUAACUUCGUGCCAGCAGCCGCGGUAAUACGAAGGACCCAAGCGUUAUCCGGAUUUACUGGGUUUAAAGGGUGCGUAGGUGGACUUGUAAGUCAGUGGUGAAAUCCCCAAGCUCAACUUGGGAACUGCCAUUGAUACUGCUAGUCUUGAGUAUAGUUGAGGUAGGCGGAAUAUGUCAUGUAGUGGUGAAAUACUUAGAUAUGACAUAGAACACCGAUUGCGAAGGCAGCUUGCUAAGCUAUAACUGACACUGAUGCACGAAAGCGUGGGGAGCAAACAGGAUUAGAUACCCUGGUAGUCCACGCCCUAAACGAUGAUAACUCGAUGUUGGCGAUACACUGUCAGCGUCCAAGCGAAAGCAUUAAGUUAUCCACCUGGGGAGUACGACCGCAAGGUUGAACUCAAAGGAAUUGACGGGGGCCCGCACAAGCGGAGGAGCAUGUGGUU
rnacentral:rRNA from 1 species